rnacentral:rRNA from 1 species
UACGGAGGGAGCUAGCGUUGUUCGGAAUUACUGGGCGUAAAGCGCGCGUAGGCGGUUUUUUAAGUCAGGGGUGAAAGCCCGGAGCUCAACUCCGGAAUAGCCUUUGAAACUGGAAGACUUGAAUCUUGGAGAGGUCAGUGGAAUUCCGAGUGUAGAGGUGAAAUUCGUAGAUAUUCGGAAGAACACCAGUGGCGAAGGCGACUGACUGGACAAGUAUUGACGCUGAGGUGCGAAAGCGUGGGGAGCAAAC